rnacentral:rRNA from 1 species
CCUACGGGGGGCAGCAGUAGGGAAUCUUCGGCAAUGGACGGAAGUCUGACCGAGCAACGCCGCGUGAGUGAAGAAGGUUUUCGGAUCGUAAAGCUCUGUUGUAAGAGAAGAACGAGUGUGAGAGUGGAAAGUUCACACUGUGACGGUAUCUUACCAGAAAGGGACGGCUAACUACGUGCCAGCAGCCGCGGUAAUACGUAGGUCCCGAGCGUUGUCCGGAUUUAUUGGGCGUAAAGCGAGCGCAGGCGGUUAGAUAAGUCUGAAGUUAAAGGCUGUGGCUUAACCAUAGUACGCUUUGGAAACUGUUUAACUUGAGUGCAAGAGGGGAGAGUGGAAUUCCAUGUGUAGCGGUGAAAUGCGUAGAUAUAUGGAGGAACACCGGUGGCGAAAGCGGCUCUCUGGCUUGUAACUGACGCUGAGGCUCGAAAGCGUGGGGAGCAAACAGGAUUAGAUACCCGGGUAGUC